GAGAACAAUCCAAUACAUUUAGAUAAGGUAUAAAGAUAUUACGGCGUUGUUUAAAGAAAUAUUAGAGCACACACUGUUUUAUAUUGACGAAUACUUUAAGUGCGCAAUACACGUUUAUAAAUAUAGCCAGAAUAACUAAAACGACGAGAUACAACGAUCAUAGCCAGUGCGCAUGCUCGGUUAUCUGUUGCUGCUCUGUUGUUGUAGUAACCAGGAAGGUUUAUCAGAAUGAUAAAUAAGCCCCGACGAUAUCACAUUAGCUAGCUACCAACAGACUCAUUAGAAAGUCUAAUUCAAGUUUUCUGUGCUGACGGGGUUUCCUUCCCAAAAAGUAUCCGCUUUAAGGGGUUUAUACGUAAGCUGGCUUUUGGUUGCACGGUCUUCUUCUAAAGUAGCAUAUGGAAAACGUCUUUAAGCUGACUCCCGCUAGAUUGUUGUUAGUCCGUUGCAAUGUCCGCAGUGUUUUACCUUUGUGACUUACAUCACAGCUUUAAUUUAUCUGUUUACAAAUGCGUAGAAAAUCACAGUGAUAAAGUUUAUGUAUUUGGUCAUUUCAACAGUAAGUGAAUGAACCGCUCGGUGACUUCUUUAAGCUGAUCUGUCACUAUUAGCUGUUAGAACAACAAAAGACAAGACAGCCGCUCACAUUUCACCUAAAAAAUGCCAGCGGUUGUCAAAGAGAAAGGAGACUCUGAAUCCUCCUCAGAAGACGAGAAAGAAGACCAUCAGUGCAUCUCAUGGAGCGGGUUGAGCAAGACAAUCCCAGUUCUCCUGUUUUUACCCGAGGCUGCUGUCUCAAAAGACCGGAGCAUCUGCUCCGUGGGAGAGCGAUACAAUAUGGCCUUCAAGAUUGUGCGCACAGAAAGCCGCCUGGUGCGAGGAAUACUCACCAACCAUGGAUUCCAUGAGGUUCACCCGAACAGUAAUGACUUCAACCUGAUGUGGACGGGAUCUCACCUGAAGCCUUACAUACUGCGCAGCCUUCAAGACUUCCAGAAGGUCAAUCACUUUCCCAGGUCGUACGAGUUAACCCGCAAAGACCGGCUGUAUAAAAACAUCCAGCGAAUGCAACAGACUCACGGAUUCAAACAUUUUCAUAUCAUCCCUCAGACAUUCGUGCUUCCCUCAGAGUACCAGGAAUUCCGCAGCUGUUUUGCCAAAGACAAGGGACCAUGGAUAAUUAAACCAGUAGCAUCAUCAAGAGGACGGGGCAUCUAUUUAGUCAGCAAUCCAAAUCAGAUCUCAAUGGAUGACAACAUCCUGGUCUCCCGCUAUAUUAACAACCCACUAUUGAUAGAUGACUUCAAGUUUGACAUGCGUUUGUAUGUGUUGGUAACCUCAUACGAUCCUCUUCUCAUCUAUGUGUAUGAGGAGGGACUGGCUCGAUUUGCCACGGUGAAGUACGAUCAGACUUCAACUAACAUCAAGAACACUUUUAUGCAUCUCACCAACUACAGUCUGAACAAAAAGAGCAGUGAUUAUGUCAGCUGCGAUGACCCAGAAGUAGAGGAUUAUGGGAACAAAUGGAGUAUGAGUGCAGUGUUGAGGUAUUUGAAGCAGGAGGGAAAGGACACCACAUUACUGAUGAGUCAAAUCGAGGACCUUAUCAUCAAAGCUGUCCUUAGUGCCGAGCACCAGAUAUCCACCGCAUGCAAGACGUUUGUUCCCCACAAAACCAACUGCUUUGAAUUGUAUGGAUUUGAUGUGCUCAUUGACUCCAACCUCAAACCCUGGUUGUUAGAGGUCAACCUCUCCCCUUCACUAUCAUGUGAUGCUCCCUUGGAUCUAAAGAUAAAGGCCAGCAUGAUUGCAGACAUGUUUUCACUUGUGGGCUUUGUGUGUCAAGAUCCGCUGCCAAAACAGGCUCGCUCUGACAGGGUCAUGUCAGAAAAGCCCCCUGCAGCCCAAAGAGCACAGCGGCAGAAACAAACAUCCACCACAAACCCAGAAACAGACACGCAGGGUCCAAAACACAGCAGAGGCGACAGCACACUCAGCCUGACUUCAGAGGAGAUCAAAGUGCUGAGGAGGAUAAAGGAGGAACAUGAGAGACGAGGAGGUUUCAUAAGGAUUUUCCCCACUGUGGAAACGUGGGAGCUCUACAGUGUAUACUUGGAGUCCAAACCAUCAAUGAACUUCAUGCUGGCGAACAGACUUUUCCAUGGAAGGAAUGUUAACGAGAAUGUGCAGCUGCAGGUGGACACGGUCCAUGACUGUCAUGUUGUCCAGUAUGAGAGGAAGCUGCUGUCUCUGGAGGCACGGAAAAAGAGACAGCGCCACCUGACUUACAGCUCUGCUGGAAGGAAGAAAACAUGGGAAAAUAAAUCCAAGGCCUCCCUGACUGAGAACAGCAGUCCAGGGGUUGAGGAGUGUGCUCCACAGGAAAGAGAGGAGGUUAAAGAGCCUUUUGAGCCAAUUUCACACAAGCAAAGAAAACAAGUGGCCUCACCAUUGGAGCCCUGCCACAGCAUACCUCUGUCCAGCUCAGACGCAGCCAUUCACAAUGCCAGGCCCAAAAUCAACCUGCUCCACAUCCUUGAGCAGAGCUGGGAUCUCAGUAAAGUACAGGCCCGGAUUGCUUUUUCGGCAUAUCUGCAGCGCGUCCAGCAAAGGCUAUUAACAGAGAGCAGAGCCAGCUCCAUCCCAGUUUGGCCAGACAGGGACAAUGACCAAAUGGAGCUGGUGAUUCGCUUCCUUAAAAGAGCAGCUCGAAACCUUCAGCAGGACAUCAAAGUAGUCUCCCCCGAUCCACAGUUACCACUUCGGGACUGCAAGCGCCUCCUGUCUCACCAGUUAGGGGAAUUUAUCCUCUGUUACAACAAGGAAACUGAACAUAUGGUGAGAAAGCAGGGGAACAGUGAGGAAAAAGGCUGUGUUAACUACUCCAUAUUUGAAGAGUACAUCACGACUGCAAGUGAAAGCAGUCUGGAGGAAGUCCUGACAUUCUACACGCAGAAAAAUAAAGCAGCCUCUGUCUUUCUAGGAACCAAAGACAAAAGUGUUAAGAAGGACACUCAUGGUAUAAAUUUCCCUGGAGAUUCAAACAACUGUGAGAAUUUUGGAUCUCUGCCUACAGCCAAAGAGGAUUCCAAUGCUUCACAGUCCUCGCUCUGCGCGGGGAAACUCAACUGUGACCCAAACAUCAAGGCCGGCGAGAAACAGUCAUCUGUUUCUGGGAUUUCUGCAGACCAACAGCUCGAGGCCACAAGAGAAAAAACUCAGCCAGCAGUCCAGUCAUCUCAUCACAGCUCAGAUUUCCCAUUGAACUUGGACUCCGAUCACAUUUGCUUCCAGAACUAUUCAUCUGCCACAGCGUCAGCUCCUCUGUAUUGUCCUCCACCGCCUGCACCUCGUCAGCCUCCAUCUUACAUGCAGAGCUUGGCAAAGUCCCAGCUCUGUCAGUCAGAAGCAUUUCCCGCACCUCCAGGAUACCCCUCCCCAACUGUUAUCCCGCAGCCACCAAGAGUGGCGUGGGCCUACCCAUCCACCGACUCUACUGCGGCCAAGGUGGCGACUCCAGCGCUCCGAAGGAUACAUUCAUUUACAAUGUCCGCCUCUCGCUUUGGAGCAGCCGCCUCGAUCCCAGGCGCCACACACAUUUACAACCAGAAGCUCUCCAGACCCACAUCUGCUGGCCAAGCGGUCACUGGGAGCAUUUCCAACAACCUGAAGUCAAAUUCAGUGACAACUUUUAGGGAGUUGCACUCUCUGUCUGCCCAAGCCCAGGCGAACCAGCAGUCCUUCAUCUCAGCUCUGCAGAAGCUGGCCGAGAAGCAGGUCGCACGCCGCUGUGCCAGCUCCAGCCACAUCAACCUCUUGACACAACAUUUGACCAGACUAAACCUGUCUAAUGGGAUGCUGAACUCUGCAACUUCUGUCCGACCCAUGAAAGAUAUUACCUCUGGAAAGAACCUGCAGGGCAGCACAAGGGGUUAUUGGGAUUUUGGGUUCUUAGAACCAGUAAGAACUCCCUAUUUGAAAUGCCAGGGCUCACUCAGUCCACACUGCUUUAGACCACCAAAGGAAGAUGUUUGGGGCGAGCAGGUCCAGACUGUGUCCGACAUGGAUCUUAAGCAGCACCACCAUCCGGCCAAGACCGGCUACCCGCAUCAGUUUGCAGUUCCCCAGCUACAACAGCAAAGCCUGACGUCCCAACAGUUUCCAGACCAAGACCGCUUUAGACAUCAGGUUCCCACAAAAUCAUCCAGCUACUCUCCGCCCACCUUUCAUAGUCAGCCCAAUCCGAGCCAUGGCCGCAACCACCACCACACCUGUGUCAGUCCGACGAUUGCUCCAAAGCCACCCAGUGUCGCCCGAGAGGGUCAGACAAGGAAAACUGUGUCCAAGCGCCUGAUUAAAACAAGCUGAAUGUCCUUCGGGGUCACAGGGUUGCUGGAGCCUACCCAUCUACCUUUGGGUGAAAGCUGGCUACACACUGAACAGGUCGCCAUUCUGUUGCUAGGCCACACACACAAAUUCUCACAUUUAGACUAAGGGUCAGUUUUGAGCCACCAAUUCACUUUAGGAGCUCGUCUUUGGAUACCGAGAGUAAACCCACACAUGCACAGGGAGAACAUGCAAACUCCAAACAGAAAGAUCCCAGCUGGGAUUUGAACCACGCAAGACCACUGACCACUAUGAUACCAUCCUGCCCCAUCCGUCUUUCAGCCUUUCCAACCCUUUCAGGGUCACUGGAUUCUGCCCCAGGUACUGUUUUACAUUCAAACUCCUCACAGAAAGGUCCCAGCUGGGUUUUGAACCAGGGCCUUCGAGAGCACUAACCAUUACACCACCACUCUGAAGGCCCAGGAUGAUUUUUUACAAACGGUAGAGCAGGUCGUCCAACAAACGAAGGGUUGGGGGAUCGAUACCCACUCUCCCCAGCCAGCUGUCGGCCCCCGAGCGCGGCCAGCCUGCAGCUCACCGCUCCCCCCAGGGGAUGGGUCAGAAUGCAGAGAAGAAUUUCCCCAUUGUGGGAUAAAUAAAGUAUCAAUUAUUAUUAUUAUUAUAACAAUGUAGAACAUUUGAGAUCAGUCAUCUUUCUUUUGAUCAAACCAUAACACUUUUGAAUCAGUGUUAUUUGAACUCACAAAAACCAUUAAAGCAAUAGAGAAACCACCAUGGAUGGCAAAGACAGCAGAUCAACACAAACCUUUUUAUCGAUUACUAAAAACAGUAGGAGUGUAGAAAUGUGACUUUAUUUGCUUCAGCUAUAUAACCUGACAAAGAACUAAAGGGAAAGCCAAUAAACGUACCAGCAAAUGUCCAAAAACUGUGAAAAGUAAAAAGGAAAGGUUCUAGUGUAACCUAAAAAGUGUCAGUUUUUAACAUUUUCUGGGUCUGUGUUAAAAUGCGAUAUAGUUCUGUAUUUAGUAGUGGCUACACUUUUUGUUAGGUUUUAUUUGUUUAGGAUUUGCAAGAAGUUGCAAAUGUCACAGUUUGUCACAGUUUUUUCGUUUGUCUUUUAAAAACAAAAAGCAAGUACAACAGGUUAAUUAGGUUAAUGUACUUAACCAUAUGUUUUCUGCUUGUAUGUGAGUUUUUGCUGUGUUCUCAGCUCUUGUUUCAACCCUCUGUCCACAGUUCAGCACAGUACAGUCAGUAAUCAGCUCUGCACUCCUGCCGGUGUGAUAAUCACAUCACCAAGGACAAGGAGCAAGAAUUUCUCCCCUUCCUGCUACAACGGCUCUCUAGAGGCUCUCAGUAAACACUUAGCCUCACUGACCGCACAGAAAGAGUAACUAUUUGAAACGAUUUCCCUUUUGUCCUGUCAGAAAACAGCUCAUUAGGAUUCCGUGCACACACUCCAGCUGAGACAGUCACAUGCACAUGACAGUCACAUGGAAUUCAUAGCAUUUUGCUUGGAUAUUUAGCUGAAAAUAGAAUCCAGAGAGGAUGCAGAUGGUCUUAAACAUGCAGGAUUUGCUGCUGGAGUUGCUCAUUUCUCAGCCCUCGAUGGCACUCAUCCUGUGUCUCAUUAACAGGCAGACUUCCUCGGAGAGUUUAGCCGCGGGAUCUGUGUCAAGUGGCCAGCAGGUGAUCUACGAGGCCAUCUGCGGUAAAACAGGUCUCUACCGGAAGCUCCUCCAGGACAAGGAGUCUUCUCAC